CCAUAAGAGGAGCAAUAAUAAAGUAUCAAGCAAUUCAGUGAGACAGAAGAAUGGAAGAUGAAUGGCAUUAUAAUUAGGUAAAAUUUUCUCAGCAGGCUGGAAUGGGACUAUAACUGAUAUAUCAUGACCAUACCAACUGAGGGUGUGGAGUAGGUCACCCAUUGGGGAUGGAAAAGGGAGGCUUCGGCCAUGCCUCUGGAGAAGAAACCAAGUCAGUAAUCUGCAAGAAGGCCCAUCUGGUC
rnacentral:lncRNA from 1 species